UGUCUUGUGCUAUUCCUGCUGUGUGAGAUGAGUGGAGGAUUUUAGAUAUCAUUCCGGGAACAUUUCAACAGGCAAAUGUUUGCAGACACAAAAACCUCGCAGCAUGCAGGAUAUUUGUUCCUUGACCAGAGAUAGAACCCGCGCCCCCUGCAGUGGAAGCACAGAAUCUUAACCACUGGACCGCUAGGGAAGUCCCAGCCAUCACAUCCUGCUUCCACUAUUGAUUCAUAUGUCCUGGUUUUACUACCCAAGGGAAGGGAAGAGAAUGAUGCAACUGACUUCUGGGGAAUAUUCCAGAAAGAUGCAGCAAAGAAGAGAGGAGAGAGAGAGGCCAGGAAACAAAUGAUGGAGAGCAAAGCUGUGAAGACAGCCGCAGGAUUUAGCUCAGCAGCCCUUGGCCUAGUCUGUUCCUGCCUCACAGACCUUUCUACCCAACAGGAUUUCUUACACCACGUUCCUCAGAAGCCCAGUGUUCCUUAAACACCUGGAGGGGAAGGCUGUGAGCCUUUGGAAAACUAAUUCAAACCUUUAGCAUUACAGUACCAAUCAAAUUAUGCUACAGCUUUUUUUCUUUUUGUCUGACAAAAUGUUUGUAAAUACCUUUCUUCAGAAACUGAUGAUUGCUCCAGAACCUCAGAACCUUAAGGAAACUUGGCUCUAAAGCAGGGGCAUGAACCCAGUGGCCCUUAGGGGUGGGUGAAGAGCUCAGUCACGCCCAGUACAGGCCGUUUCUGUGUCAAAAUGGAGGCCCAGGAGUAACAGCUUAUUUUUUUGUUUUUUGAAAAAGAAGUAAGAUAUCUAGAUAUUUUUUUGUGAAAUCUCUCUACCUUUAAAAGUUGGCAGCUGACUAACAAACAAAUGAACCCCAAACAAGAAAUCCUUCUGCUGGCCACCUAGAGUGUGGUGCCCCUGGUACAGGGCAGGUCUGGCUGUGUCUUGGUUUCCAGCUGGCAGAGCUGGUCCUUUGACUGGCACUACCCUUGUGGACAGUCCGCCAGUGGCUGGGAGGGGUCAUCCUCAACCCACACCAAAGGCAGAUGCCCCCCGUGGGGUGAAGAAACCCAAUCAGACAACUUGAAUUGGGCAGACCAAAUGUUUCAGAUUGUAUUGACUCCACGGUGCUUGUAAAAAUGUGACUUUUCUGCCUUCCUCUUGGACGUCACAUAAAUCUAAUUUAAAAACACUCU